rnacentral:tRNA from 1 species
GGAGGUAUAGCAUAAUGAUUAUGCAAAGAGACUCUCAUGCCUGAGGCUCCAAAGACCCAGGUUCAAUUCCUUGUACUACCA